rnacentral:tRNA from 1 species
GCCGGCUUGGCUCAGUGGAUAGAGCGUCAGCCUGCAGACUGAAGGAUCGCAGGUUCGAUUCCGGCAAGGCA